GCCGACAGCUUGCUGUUGGUGGAUGAGUGGCGAACGGGUGAGUAACACGUGAGUAACCUGCCCCUGAUUUCGGGAUAAGCCUGGGAAACUGGGUCUAAUACCGGAUAUGACCAAUCCUUGCAUGAGGGUUGGUGGAAAGUUUUUCGAUCGGGGAUGGGCUCGCGGCCUAUCAGCUUGUUGGUGGGGUAAUGGCCUACCAAGGCGACGACGGGUAGCCGGCCUGAGAGGGCGACCGGCCACACUGGGACUGAGACACGGCCCAGACUCCUACGGGAGGCAGCAGUGGGGAAUAUUGCACAAUGGGGGAAACCCUGAUGCAGCGACGCAGCGUGCGGGAUGACGGCCUUCGGGUUGUAAACCGCUUUCAGCAGGGAAGAAGCGAAAGUGACGGUACCUGCAGAAGAAGUACCGGCUAACUACGUGCCAGCAGCCGCGGUAAUACGUAGGGUACGAGCGUUGUCCGGAAUUAUUGGGCGUAAAGAGCUCGUAGGUGGUUGGUCACGUCUGCUGUGGAAACGCAACGCUUAACGUUGCGCGUGCAGUGGGUACGGGCUGACUAGAGUGCAGUAGGGGAGUCUGGAAUUCCUGGUGUAGCGGUGAAAUGCGCAGAUAUCAGGAGGAACACCGGUGGCGAAGGCGGGACUCUGGGCUGUAACUGACACUGAGGAGCGAAAGCAU
rnacentral:rRNA from 1 species